rnacentral:sRNA from 1 species
AAAUAGCCCCGAUUGCAGUGGUAAUCCUUUUUUUGUUAGGUAAUUGGUGUGGAGGCAAAAAAGAUAGUAACGGAAAGCGAGACUUUGG